UACGGGGGGGGCAAGCGUUGUUCGGAAUCACUGGGCUUACAGGGUGCGUAGGCGGCGUUUUAAGUCAGGUGUGAAAUCCCCCGGCUCAACCGGGGAACUGCGCCUGAGACUGGAUUGCUCGAGUGAGGCAGGGGUGUACGGAACUUCCGGUGGAGCGGUGAAAUGUGUAGAUAUCGGAAGGAACGCCAGCAGCGAAAGCGGUACACUGGGCCUUGUCUGACGCUGAGGCACGAAAGCCAGGGUAGCGAAC
rnacentral:rRNA from 1 species